GACGAACGCUGGCGGCGUGCCUAAUACAUGCAAGUCGAACGCUGAAGUCAGGAGCUUUCUCUUCUUGGAUGAGUUGCGAACGGGUGCUUAACGCGUAGUUAACCUGCCUUGUAGCGGGGGAUAACUAUUGGAAACGAUAGCUAAUACCCCAUAACAAUUGAUGACUCAUUUCAUCUAUUUGAAAGGAGCAAUUUCUCCACUACAAGGUGGACCUGCGUUGUAUUAGCUAGUAGGUGAGGUAAUGGCUCACCUAGGCGGCGAUAUGUAGCCGACCUGAGAGGGGGAGCGGCCAAACUGGUCCGGGGACACGGCCCAGCACCCUGCGGGAGGGAGACGGAGGGGAUCUUCAGCAAUGGGGGCAAUCCGGAACGAGCAACGCUGCGUGAGUGCAGGAGGCUUUCGGGUCGUGAAGGUCAGUUGUAAGUUAAGAACGGGAGGGAGAGUGGCAAGUUAAGACAGUGACAGUAGCGUAACAAAAAGCGACGGCUAACUACGUG
rnacentral:rRNA from 1 species